CUUUGUGAUCUUCCACAGCUUUCUUGAACUGCAUCUGCAAAGGAGAUGCGCCUUCUGCUACUUGCGUGGGCACGUGCAGUUCAAUAAAGCUGUGGGAAACUACAGAGA
rnacentral:pre_miRNA from 1 species